rnacentral:rRNA from 1 species
CCUACGGGGGGCAGCAGUAGGGAAUAUUGCUCAAUGGGGGAAACCCUGAAGCAGCAACGCCGCGUGGAGGAUGAAGGUUUUAGGAUUGUAAACUCCUUUUGUGAGAGAAGAUAAUGACGGUAUCUCACGAAUAAGCACCGGCUAACUCCGUGCCAGCAGCCGCGGUAAUACGGAGGGUGCAAGCGUUACUCGGAAUCACUGGGCGUAAAGAGUGCGCAGGCGGGCUUGUAAGUCAGAUGUGAAAUCCUGUAGCUUAACUACAGAACUGCAUUUGAAACUAUGAGUCUAGAGUGUGGGAGAGGUAGGUGGAAUUCUUGGUGUAGGGGUAAAAUCCGUAGAUAUCAAGAGGAAUACUCAUUGCGAAGGCAGCUUACCAAGCUACUUCUGACGUUGAGGCACGAAAGCGUGGGGAGCAAACAGGAUUAGAUACCCGAGUAGUC